GCGACGAUGCGUAGGGGUUCUGAGAGGAAGGUCCCCCACACUGGUACUGAGACACGGACCAGACUCCUACGGGAGGCAGCAGUGAGGAAUAUUGGUCAAUGGGAGAGAUCCUGAACCAGCCAAGCCGCGUGAGGGAAGACGGCCCUAUGGGUUGUAAACCUCUUUUGUCGGAGAACAAAACCCGGGACGUGUCCCGGACUGCGUGUAUCCGAAGAAAAAGCAUCGGCUAACUCCGUGCCAGCAGCCGCGGUAAUACGGAGGAUGCGAGCGUUAUCCGGAUUUAUUGGGUUUAAAGGGUGCGUAGGCGGUCCGUUAAGUCAGCGGUAAAAUUGCGGGGCUCAACCCCGUCGAGCCGUUGAAACUGGCAGACUUGAGUUGGCGAGAAGUACGCGGAAUGCGCGGUGUAGCGGUGAAAUGCAUAGAUAUCGCGCAGAACUCCGAUUGCGAAGGCAGCGUACCGGCGCCAGACUGACGCUGAGGCACGAAAGCGUGGGGAUCGAACAGGAUUAGAUACCCUGGUAGUCCACGCAGUAAACGAUGAAUGCUGGUUGUCCGGGUCGAAUGAGAUCUGGGCGGC
rnacentral:rRNA from 1 species